GGGGUUGUGGCUCAAAGGUAGAGUGCCCACCUAGCAUGUGUGAGGCCCUGGGUUCGAUCCACAGCACCACA
rnacentral:tRNA from 1 species